GUUUCACAAGAAUUGGUUAAUUGGUUACCUGCAGAGACCACAGGUCCAUCUUCUGAGGAUGUUAUCAGAAUAGAAGGGUAAGCAGAAACUGGACCAAAUGAAACAGAAACAGCAACUUCUGUAAGACGAUCAGAGAGGAUUAAUAAAAAGCAAACCUCCAGAAAGAUAUGGAUUCUGUGAAAACCUGCAUAUAAUAAAGUAACCAGCAAACUGGAAAGAGGCUUGUAAGACAAAACACAUCUCUUUUGCAAAGAUCUUCAGAACCAGGGAAAAUGUCAGGAUGGUAGAAUUAAGUUCCCCUGCACCAGAGGAGAGACAGCCAGUGAGUCUUGAUAACUCUUACUGGCUCAGAGCUGAAGAUUCACCUGCUGGAGAUUCUUGUCUGAGUCAUACCCUCAUUGCUGCAUAUUUCCUGGUACACCUCCUGGAGCCCUCUUCUGUGAUACACCUGGAGGCUGCUAAACCAGUACACCUGAUGACAUGACCUUUUUGAUGCCUACCAAGACAAGAGCCUACUACUGCUUUGAGCUGGUGCAUAUGAGUGCAGCCCAAUUGUCAAACAUGAACAUAAUCAGCUAUGGAACAGAAGCCAGAGUGAGAAACCUUAUUGGUAAAUGCUCCUCCAAAUGUUGAAAAUCACAUUAAUGGAGCUUGUUAAUUCAACACAAGAUGCUUUGCAUUGACAAGAUUUUUAAAUGUUGACUAAAAGUAUUGAUGAAAAUCAUAGAUAUUAUUCCUAAUGAUCUUUCCACAGCAAGUGUAUAUGAGAAAAAUAAAACUUAGUUUCUUUUAUUAAAAGCCCUGUGG
rnacentral:lncRNA from 1 species